UACGUAGGUGGCAAGCGUUAUCCGGAAUUAUUGGGCGUAAAGAGGGAGCAGGCGGCAGCAAAGGUCUGUGGUGAAAGACUGAAGCUUAACUUCAGUAAGCCGUAGAAACCGGGCAGCUAGAGUGCAGGAGAGGAUCGUGGAAUUCCAUGUGUAGCGGUGAAAUGCGUAGAUAUAUGGAGGAACACCAGUGGCGAAGGCGACGAUCUGGCCUGCAACUGACGCUCAGUCCCGAAAGCGUGGGGAGCAAAUAGG
rnacentral:rRNA from 1 species